ACGGGGGUAGCUCAACUGGCUGAGCAGCGAGCUCCAAACUCGAAGGCUGGGGGUUCGAGUCCCUCUCCCUGUGCCA
rnacentral:tRNA from 1 species